AAAAUCCGUUGAAACGCAUUGUGCUUCUACUCCCAUCACUUCUAAAUUGUGGCUCAGUUAUCCUGAUAGGUCCUAGUAUUUUUAAACAUUUUGUAGUAUUGACCUACAGUCCUUAAGACAUAGCUAAAUAGCCUCAGAGCUGCACGUUGGGUUGGUUUUCUCUUCCUUUGUAUUAAAAUAUGCACCCUUGGCAUGGAAGGCCUUAAAAAUAUAUGCACUUAGUGAACCCUCAAAAUGUUCUGAUUUUUGAAUAUAUCAGAGGUGUGAGAAUAAACACGUCGCAUGCCCGCCCCCCAUUUUAAUUUCAGAAAUGUCCCCAGUGUGCUUCUCAAUUUUUGAAAAUAAGUUCAAAUCAGGCAGCAGGAAACCAGCUGUCAGCUCAGAAAGGUGCUCUAGAAAGGCAAUAAUGCUGUACUUGGAAAAGUGCCUCUUAACCUGGUUAACCUCAUGGGGUGGCACUCAGGAAGGUGACAGGAGCAGGUUCCUGAAUUAGCUACUUACCACAACAGUUUAUGGGUCAGCCGUGCAUCCCCGAGCCCAGGGAUUGGGGUGUCCCCCAGGUGCCAAAGACAGCCACGAAAGGUCUGCAGUCUAGCUUUUGAGGUGAAAAGGGGCUUUCCAGGCUCAAAAAUAGGGCCUGUUCUGACUAGUAAGGGGACAACAAGGAUUCACUCUAGGUUUAGGAAUGUAACCAAGGACAAAGAAGUAUAGAUGAGCCAAGGCUAGAACUCAUUUUCUGCCUUCCUCUCAGACUUCUUUUUUUACUUGAUAGAGUAACAAUAUAUUGAUUUCAGGUCUACAGCAUAAUUUGAUAUUUGUAUAUAUUGCAAAAUGAUCACAGAGUUUCAGAUUUUUUUCUUUAAAAAAAUUUUUUUUAAUGUUUAUUCAUUUUUUGAGAGACAGCAUGUGAGCAGGGGAGGGGCAGAGAGAGAAGGAGACACAGAAUCUGAAGCAGGCUCCAGGCUCCGAGCUGUCAGCCCAGAGCUGGACGCAGGGCUCGAACUCACGAGCCAUGAGAUCAUGACCUGAGCGGAAGCCGGACGCUUGACCGACUGAGACACCCAGCUUUGUCUGCUUAGUUACUGGACUGUCCCUUGGUGAGAAUACGCAGGAAGAGAGGAGCGACUGAGUUCUAGACCAUGCAACCACAGGAAUCUGUGACCUUCAAGGAUAUAGCUGUAGACUUCACCCAGGAAGAGUGGGCCCUGCUGGACGCAUCCCAGAGGAAGCUGUACAGAGAUGUGAUGCUGGAGAACAUCGGUCAUCUGGUGUCUGUGGGGUAUCGAGUUUGCAAAUCAGAUGUGAUUUCCCAGUUGCAGCAAGGAGUGGAGCUGUGGAGGGAAGGGAGAGGAUUUCCCCAAGGCGUGAUUCCAGACAGAAAAAGUAGCCUUAUGAGGCAAGAAGAUGUCUGCAGAAAGGACCCAUCUAAGUGCAUGUCAGUGGGGGUCUUUUCUGUGGGAGUCAACAGACGCCGAGUCACCAUGAAGCUGCGAGUGAAAUCUUCUUCCAAGUCACUGCAUUCAAAGGGAUCCUCUGGCGAAGGAGACUUCUGCUUUGGGGAAAGAGGUGGAAGGAAGCAUCCCUCACUGGACAAGACCUUCAGCCGGCAUUUCCAGGAACAUGCUCCCUACUGAGCGGGCACGUCGCCUACUAAGCACAGGUCCCUGCGGCUCACCUGGACCCUGGCUUUGGAGAGAUCCGCUUCCUUCAGCCCACAGCUCUUCUCCCUGCUCCAGCUGGAAAAUCACAUCUGACUGGCAAUGUUGGUACCCUGGUCAUUGAAAAAAGGUACAUGGAUUUUGAAUUCUGUGCUGAUAAAAGUCCUCUCCUUCCCCGAAGCCAGUAAUUAUCAUCAAGUCCAGGACAGGCUACUGAGGAAGGACAAGGACAACACUGAAGUUCACCCCAGGCACCACUUGAAUAGAAAAGAACACUGACAUCCAGACAGUGUGUUCACAACAGUGAAGACCUCUGGAUGCUGAUGUCUGUGCCCAAGCUCAAAGAACGCCAAACAGUUAGUCUGCAUUACACGCUGAAUAUCUCCAGAGUGGGCUGAAUAUUAUUUUCAAACAGACACCAACAAACAUAAGCUCUACAAGAAUAACCAAGUUCUAUUGCUUUCAUUAGUCUGCUUUCAACUCUUGCCACAGUGACUAGAGCAGAAUAAUUAUUUAGAAAAUGUUUAAUCAGCUUAUUUCUACAUUCAGAAAUACUGAGUUCCCAGUUCUCUUUGUGUUAGAGACUGAGUAGCAACAAAGACAUUAAAUUGUGGCUAAGAUUACAUUCUAGUGGGGUGACAAACUAGAUGGAGCAAAAUACAAAGAAAUAACUUAUUUUUCCAGGAAGGUCUAUGAAAGAUUCAGGGAAGAGUGUGGAGUGGGUACGUCGAAGCUAUUCCAGAUUCCUGUGGACGGAUGGACUGACUACCUCCUGACCCACUCAUCUGUAUAUGUAUACAUGCAUACAGAUACACACGUACUGGCAGACUCACCCAGGGAGACCAGAUGACGUAUAUUUUCCAGCAUCACAUCUCUGAACAGCUUUCGCUGGGAUGCGUCCAGUAGGGCCCACUCUUCCUGGGUGAAGUCUACAGCUACAUCUUCAAAUGUCACUGAUUCCUGAAACAUCAUGGAUAUUCCGGUUUAGACUGAGCACUCCCAACAGGCGUCCAGAGUAGGAGGGUUGAGCUGACAGCUCUGAGGAAGGGGGCGGAGGCGCCGGGUGUGUCGAAAGAUCAAACUGAACGUGGGGUUCCAUCAGCUCAUUCUCAGUACCGAAUGGGCAGCUGCCUUUCAGAUUCAUCACAGAGAUACAUCCAGUCUGAAGCAAUAAAACUUCUUUAUAAGGGGGUAUCACGUGAAGCGUGACAUAAUAUUACCUGGAACUUUAAAAAAAACAACAACAACUGGUAUUUCUAGGGGCUCCUGGCUGGCUCAGUCAGUACAGCAGGUGACUCUUUGACCUCUGGAUUGUUGAGUUCAAGCCCCACAAUGGGUGUGAAGCCUACUUACAAAAGUAAAUACGUAAAAUAAAGACAAAGUCUAAAAUAAAAACUGGUAAUGAUGGUUUCUGAUAUGUGGCACUUGAAAAUUAGUAACUAAAACUCACUUUCUGGUAAUUUCAAGUAACUUUACCGACUCACUGUAAGGCAAACAAUAACCGUGACCUGUCUCUUUAAACCAUGACGCCAUUCCCAUAGGUAAACAUUUAAUAAACUGUUACGAGUACUGAAAGACCUGAUAAACUAAUGUACGAAGUUCUUCCUAUCUAAGUAAACGUAUUAAAUGUAAGCCAUUUGCCUAUUACUCCUUACAUUGUCCCAAGAACCUUGAAACCGUCUGUAGCAUUCUUCAAAAAUGAACAGGUUUCAUAAAGAACUUGGUAAAAAUAGUGUCGUCUUGCUCAUCUCUAUGGGACGCAGAUGUUCAUAAUAAAGGACAAGGUCAGAAGGCUCAGCAGCAAAGCCAGGGACCUCUGAGACGGCUGUGCUGGGGGACAGUCCUGGCCUGACCGGUCCUGUGCCACGAGGACUCCCAAUCCCAAUCUUCUCUGGGACCUCAGACACAGUUAUCACCGUCUCCUAUCUGGUCCUUCUGCUAAAGGAUAACAGAAGUCUCUUGACUGGUUUUGGUUUAUUUAAUUCUGAAAAAGUUUCUGCAGGAUCUUAAAUUGUACUCUACUCCCUUGUCCUGAGUAUAUAGCCACAGUUAUGGAAAUAAUACUCCCUAUACACUAAUUGCAGCUAAGAAAUAUUUUCUUAAAACGUUAAUUAAUUACAGUAAGGCAAAAUGUGUGACUGGGAACAUGAAUGAUAGUGAAAAGUUAGUUCUCUUUUUAAGAAGUUUCCAAAAGUACAAAUACACUCUAUCAAAACUUUAAAACUGGACAGAAUGAGUGACCCUUCAUGCCUUUUCUGGCCUAAACUUUUCUCGUGCUCCUUUCACACCCAAAGACCCCAACCAGGACCUGUAACACUGGACUGUCAGAACCCACCUCCCUAUUGGACUACAGUGUUGCCCUCCUGGCUCAUCUCUUCAUCACAACCCUUUACAAAGGACCAUUAUAGCAAACAGCGUGAUUAGUGAGUGAAUCAUUUGCCGGUAAGGAUAUGGACUAAGUUAGAGAAAAAACUUCUUUCUUCUUUUCUGUAAAUACAUAAGCUUAAUGGAGGCGAGAGUAAACUACUGUGAGGCAGAAAGGUUAUUAGUAACUGAGGAGUUCCUGACCCAUUAGAACCAUCCCAGAGUCCUGGGGAGAUUUCACUGGAGCUCGAAUCCCUGAAAACUUCCUGACUGCACCUGGAAUAUGCGUGCCAAUGGGAAAAUCCCGCCCGUCAGAUGGCACAAGGGUGUAAGCGGAAAGAGGCGAUCCCCACUCACCAGUGGCUGCAUUGUCAAUAACCCAGAUGCAGGUGUCUUUCUCUGGGUCCUCGCUCACUGGCAGUCCAAGCACUAAGCAGGCAAAGCUGAGGACGGAGAAAGAAGCCAUGAGAUGCAGUCCUGCACAUAAUGUCCAGUCUAAACUGUCAUGAAGCCCCAAACCUUCACCUGGAUGUGACACUCCCCACCCAGCCCCACCAACCUGCAGCGCGCUCUACAAGAAAUGCAGAGGACUCGCCUCCUCUCCCGUGGUCUAGAGUUAAGAAGACUGACUACAGUAGCUAAAAAAACACCCCCCCCCCCCAAAAAUACAAAUAUAGAUGUCUCAGGAUAAGACCACUGAAAGUAUUGAGUGUAUAUGGCAAUCAGCCCACGGCAUCCAGAGUUCUUCAGUUCCCUCUGUGACUCCAGAGCGUGGGGAUCCUGGACUUCGGCCGCAUGUCGAGUUUGAUUUCCAUCUGGAGGUAAAUACUCGACUUUCUCAGAUUUCCUUAUUCUCCUACACAAGCAGUGGUUGUCCAGCAUCCAUGGCAACCUUCUGGAGCCACAUUGCCUUUCUGCUCUCCCUCAACUCCACCUCUGCGAUCUGCCCCCUCCCCCCACCCCCAGAUGUGGAUGUCAAAAAACUAAGUUUAUGAUAGGAUUACUCAAUUCAAGGACUUACCCAUUUGGAGAGAUCAGUGGCACUCAUUCUGCUCCCCUGCAUCAGAAAGGAGGAGUAUAGGAGUCAGAGCGUUCCUGUUAUGUACUAUCCCAACCCUCCAGGUCAUUCAGGUAACUUGGAAUGGCUGGGGUUCAGGAGGAUAUCUAGCUACUCUUUGAUUAUUUUAGCUAAGUGGUAGCACAAGGCCUUGAAAUCCGAUUCUAUAUGAAUCUUCAUUAGCUGUACUAUCCUACAUCACACACACACAUACACGUAUACAUACAUGCACAUUUACGUAUAUACACAAAUGUGUGUGAAAGACAGAGAAAGCCAUUUAUAAACUGUAAAUUCUCCCCUAAAAUACCAAUAAUAAUUAAAUGUAUUUCAUGGGAAAAUGACGACAAUGUGUCAUAAGCAAAAAUAGGAUAACUCACCCAUUUGUACCUGGGGUCCAGAAAAAGAGGGAAAAAAAGGAAAUUUGUAUCAAAUGUGACUCUGCUUGGAUAUUUACAUGAUCCACUUAUUUAAUCCUCACAAUAAACUGGUGAUUUUAAUUGAUUUACUAAUUUAACAAAAGACCUGAAGAGGUUCGAAACACUUUCUGUAUUUUAAUCUUGCUCUGCCUGUCUCCCAUGCUCAAAUUCCUUAAGAAUCACACCCCAUGCCUGGGUUUAACCUGGAAAAUCAUGUCGGUUCUGACUUAAGGAGAAGCCCUCCGCUGUUACUACAACGUCUUCUUCCUACUUUUUCAAGAAACACACCCCACACUCAGGUCUCUGUGCGCGGGGCAGCAGGUGACUUCCGUGCGCCUGCCUUUUCUGUGGCCAAAUGUGACCCACGUGGCAAAGAAGCCGAUCCCUGCCUAACACCAGCACCACCACUCCUAGGGCUUUUCAAAUGUGUCUGGCAUCUCUACCUUGGAGAAGUGAAUCAUUCUUCCACGCUCCAUAAAUACUUCAAAUCUGCAGGCUCUUCAAUCUACACGUUCUCCCCUUUCAAAAGACAGGAUUCUUUCCUACUACAAUACUGUGUUCGUUUGCUCAGGCUGCUGUAACACAGUACCGCCAACCGAGGGGCUUAAACAACAGAAGUGUAUUUUCUCAUGAAUCUGGCCGCUGCACGAGACCAAGGCCUCCCCACCCAGCGUGCUCACAGCCGUCCUCUCCCUGUGUCUCCACACUCUUGCUUGGCACACAUCGGUGACGUCAGUCCCUCUUCUUGCAAAGACACCAGUCAAACAGACUCCGAGCCCGCCCCACUGACCUCAUUUUCCCUUAGUUACCACUUGUGAGGCCCAAUCUCCAAAUACAUUCUUAGGGUUGGGACUUCCACAUUUGACUUUUGGGAACACAAAAUUCAACCUAUAAUAGAGAUGAGUUUACAUACAGUGACAUUCUGCCUCAGUUUUCCCCACAAGUCCUACAUUCAUGUCCACUGGUUAUUUUUUUCUAUCGAAUUGAAGUCCUGUUGCCUCUAAGUCCAGUGUGUCCAACUGAAUUCCUUUCUCCUGUUUUGUUCAGAACUAUAUUAUGAACUCUCCUUUCCCCAAAACAUGUCCAUCUCUCCACAAUCACCUAUCUCCUCACUGACGCUCAUUAUCUCUCUCGUAACUUGAAGCAAAAAUCUCCUCUGCACGGAUUUUCUCUCCAGCCCCUGGCCUUCCAUCCUCCCUUCAGAGCCGAACCGGAAGUGCUGGUGUCCCUCACUCACGUCGUCCCCUCCCUCUGACUUACAAAGACCACCAAUGAUUACUUUGUAAGUACACGUUGUUAAUAUCACUGUCUCCAUAAAUAAAUCCUUACAUGGAAAUGAGGAGGAGUUAAACCCUGACCUCCUUUUCUGAACAUCUUGCUGCCGUUACCUGACACUUUAAGUCUCCUCUACAAUCGGUCCUUCUCGCAUGUCCUCUGCAAAGAAUUCCUCAAUCCUGUCGGAAUGUCUCGAGACUUCACGUGAGCUCCUGCUCUCCUUUUAUACCAUGUCCUGGUAGGCUCACGCAUUUCUUCAACUGCUCCACAUUUUUUCUGUUGCUGUCCCUAAAUUGAAAGUAACCAAUUUCUUGUCUGGAUUCCAUUUCUGAAUGAUCACCUCUGCCUGCAAACGUACAUACACCCAUACACCUAAAAUGAAAUAUUUCCCAGGACAGUAACUCCACCGCUCGAAACAUCAAAUGUAUUCCUCCUCUGUCUGAAUCUUAGCUAAUGGCUCCAUCUGAGUGUUGGUAUUGUAAAUGCCUUCAUCCAUCUGACAAACACACUGCUAUUAUUUCUAAACUGGCCACUGGUGUCAUUCUUCACUUCCACCUCCAUCAACGAACGUCCUGCCCCAUACUCCUCCUCCUCCAGUUUCAGUCUGCAUCUCAAUUAUACAGAGACACUUUCACUAAACUCCAACCAGAGUAAGCCUCUCCCUUGCCCUCCGCCUUGACUUAAACAGAACUACUGCCCUUUCAGGUCACUCAUGAAAUUGUUGUUAUGUAUUUACUUAUGCUGUCCUCUCGAUGGUCUAAAUGCGGAAAAAUGCACCUAUGAAUGGUAGAGUUAGGCAAGUCCCCCUCUGAUCGUUACAUCUGAAUUAUGAAGACAGAGAAAUUCUAUGCCCACAGUAAGGAAACCUCCCCCCAAAUGCCUGUGGUCAGAUAAACCAUCAUUUUCUGAUUAUAAAUAUCUCUCUGAAGUACAGGAGUCCGUCUUUUCUGGUAUAAAUUCUCUCCAGUACUUCCCCAGACCCAAACAGAUGGAAAAGCUAACAAAGCCAACUCUUUGAGGAUGCAGCCACCACACAAAGACCCUCAGAGUUUCUUUCUAGUUCUAGACAGAUCACUCUUUCGAUGGUGAUCCGUCUUUAUAAAAGCAGUUGACAACGUCAUCAGUAACGUAAACCAAAAGACAUACCCUGGCCAGUCUGGAUGACAGUCAAUAUAAAUCUAAUUGAGGCAUGCCUUUUUUUUCUAAUUAGGUAAAUCAUAUAGAUGCAGUUAAGGAAAAAAAGAUGAUGCUUUUUUUUGUUUCUAACCCUUUUUAGACUCAUGUUAGGUUCACUGCAAACUGAGCAUAAGAUACAGACAGUUCCCAUAUACCUCCUGUCCCCACAAAAGAAUGGCCUUCCCCACUAUCAAUAUACCACCAGAGUGCUACAUUUGUCACAAUUGAUGAACCUACAGUGAUACAUCAUCAUCACCCAAAGUCCUUAGUUUUAUACUAGCAUUCACUCUUGGUGUUGUAAAUUCUACUGGUUUUGAAAAAUAUACAAUGACAUGUAUCCACUGUUACAGUAUCAUCAGAUUUUCACUGGCCUAAAAAUCCCGUACCGUGCCUAUUUAUCCCUGCCCACCACCCAAUCCCUGGCCACCACUGAUUGUUUUACUGUCUUCAUAGUUUUACCUUUUCCAGAAUGUCAUAUAGUUGGGAUCAUACAGUAUGUCUUUUUCAGAUUGGUUUCUUUUACUUAGUAACAGGCAUUUAAACCUCCUCCAUUUUCACUGGCUUAAAAGCUCAUUUCUUUUUACCACUGAAUAAUUUCUACAGUUUGGCUAUACUACGGUUUAGUUAUCCAUCACCUACUGAAGGAAGGAACUUAGUUCCUUCCAAGUUUUGGCAAUUACAAAUAAAGCCGUUCUAAAACAACCACGUGUAGGUUUUUGUGUGGACCUACGUAUUCCAACUCAUUUGGAUAAACAAGAAACAUGACUGCUGGAUCACAUGGUAAGAGUUUGUUUAGUUUUGUAAAAAAAAAAAAAAAAAACUCCCACUAUCUUCCAAAGCAGCUGUACCAGUUUGCAUUCCUACCAGCAAUGAAGGACAGUUCCUGUUGCUGUGUAUCUUUACCAGCAUUUGGUGGUGUUGGUAUUUUGGAUUUUCCCCUAGAAUUCUAAUGGCAUGCAGUGGUACUCUCGUUUUUAUUUUAAUUUGUAUUUCCCUAAUGACAUGAUGUUGAGCAUACUUUCAUAUGCUUAUUUCCUAUCUUCUUUGGUGAGAUGGCUGUUCAGAUCUUUUGAUCCCCCCCCCCUUUCUAACGUUUAUUUAUUUUGAGAGAGAGACAGAGAGCAACUGGGGGGGAAGGUCAGAGAGAAAGAGACACAGAAUCUGAAGCAGCUCCAGUAUCUGAGCUGUCAGCACAGAGCCUGAUAUGGGACUCAAACUCAAGAGCCGCGAGAUCAUGAACUGAGCUGAAAUCGGAUGCUUAACUGACUGAGCCACCCAGGCACCCCACUUUUGCCAAUUUUUGAAUGGAGUUGGUCAUUUUCUUAUUGUUGAGUUUUAGGAAUAUCUUAUAUUAUGGUUAAGUCCUUUAUCAGAUGUGUGUUUUGGAAAUAUUUUCUCCCAGCUUGUGGCUCUGUCUUCUCAUUUUCUUCAGUAUUGAAGCAGAAGUAUUUAAUUUUAAUCAAGUUCAACUUAUCAGUUCUUUCAUGGAUCAUGCCUUUGAUGUUGUAGCCAAAAUGUCAUUGCCAAACUCAAGGUCACCUUGAUUUUUUUCCUUUGGGAGUUGUAUAGUCUUGUGUUUUAUAUUUAGAUGUUAUAUAUUUUGAGAUAAUUUUUUAGGAGUAUAAUGUCUGUGUCUAGAUUUUUUUUUUUUUUUUUUGGGUAUAUGAAUUUCAGUUAUUACCUGCCCUCUCGCUGUUGAAAAUGCUUUUUUUCUCCAUUAUAUUUCUUUGUCAAAUAUCAGUUGACUGUAUUUGUGUGGGUAUACUUCUGGGCUCCCUGUUGUGUUUCACUGAUAUAGUUGUCUGUUUCACCAACAGAUUACAUAGUUUAACUCGUCAUCCUUCUAAAGGUCUCAAAAGCAAUCUUCAUCCAUCUUGUGGAUUUGGGUUGUUACAGGCAACACUGGAGAGAAGCUAAAGUGAGAGCUGUAUGCUGCUCUUUAUUUUCAAGAGGACUCAUCAUGUGACAUCUCUCAGGCUGUGAGCAUCCUGGUGACUCCAGAUAAAUGAAACAUUUGAGCUUAAAAUAUAUAUUUGGCUACCUAGA